rnacentral:rRNA from 1 species
GACGAACGCUGGCGGCGUGCUUUACACAUGCAAGUCGAACGGCAGCACGGACUUCGGUCUGGUGGCGAGUGGCGAACGGGUGAGUAAUGUAUCGGAACGUGCCCAGUCGUGGGGGAUAACGUAGUGAAAAUUACGCUAAUACCGCAUACGAUCUAUGGAUGAAAGCGGGGGAUCGCAAGACCUCGCGCGAUUGGAGCGGCCGAUAUCAGAUUAGGUAGUUGGUGGGGUAAAGGCCCACCAAGCCAACGAUCUGUAGCUGGUCUGAGAGGACGACCAGCCACACUGGAACUGAGACACGGUCCAGACUCCUACGGGAGGCAGCAGUGGGGAAUUUUGGACAAUGGGCGCAAGCCUGAUCCAGCCAUUCCGCGUGCAGGAUGAAGGCCCUCGGGUUGUAAACUGCUUUUGUACAGAACGAAAAGGUUUCUACUAAUACUAGGAGCUCAUGACGGUACUGUAAGAAUAAGCACCGGCUAACUACGUGCCAGCAGCCGCGGUAA